GGGCUUGACAUCCCACGAACCUGUUGAAAGGCAGGAGUGCCCGCAAGGGAGCGCGGAGACAGGUGGUGCAUGGCUGUCGUCAGCUCGUGUCGUGAGAUGUUGGGUUAAGUCCCGCAACGAGCGCAACCCUCACCCCUUGUUGCUACCAGGUAAAGCUGGGCACUCUAGGGGAACUGCCCCGGUCAACGGGGAGGAAGGCGGGGAUGACGUCAAGUCAUCAUGCCCCUUACGUCCUGGGCUACACACGUGCUACAAUGGCCGGUACAAAGGGAUGCCACACCGCGAGGUAGAGCUAAACCCAAAAAGCCGGUCUAAGUUCAGAUUGGAGUCUGCAACUCGACUCCAUGAAGGAGGAAUCGCUAGUAAUCGCGUAUCAGCACGACGCGGUGAAUACGUUCCCGGGCCUUGUACACACCGCCCGUCACACCACGAAAGCCAGCUGUACUCGAAGUCGCUGAGA
rnacentral:rRNA from 1 species